GCAAGUCGAACGGUAAAAGGAAUUAGCUUGCUAAUAUGCUGACGAGUGGCGCACGGGUGCGUAACGCGUAUACAAUCUACCUUUUACAGGGGGAUAGCCCAGAGAAAUUUGGAUUAAUAUCCCAUAGUAUUAUUUAUUGGCAUCGAUUAAUAAUUAAAGCUUCGGCGGUAAAAGAUGAGUAUGCGUUCUAUUAGCUAGUAGGUGUGGUAACGGCACACCUAGGCGACGAUAGAUAGGGGCCCUGAGAGGGGGAUC
rnacentral:rRNA from 1 species